AUUUACGUACACUUUGACGGCUACGGAAGACGAAAUCCGGCAGCCAAUAAGAGAGUUUGGAGAAAAUAUGGUGGAUGGGAUCGAAAUGUAGACAAAGCGAUUUGUUUAGGCGCUCUGCUAUCAUAAUAAAAAUAUUAAACACUAUUGUAAUAAAUUUAAAGCAUACAGGGAAGAAAUUUGUCCUAAAGGUUCAGAUUUUAAAUAUAAUUAGGACUACGGCUGCCUUUACAAUAUCGGAGUCACUAGAAUCAGCUGUUUGCAUUAGCUGGUGGCCAAAUAGCUACCACUUGUUUGUAAGCAGUAGCCAAAAUGGAAAUUCUGGUAGCAAUUGGCUACUUGGCUACCAGGUUUGUCGAGCCAUGUGAUGUCAUCCAUUCUUCAUCAUGAUGAUAUCACAUUGGGACUGUGAUGUUAUUAAAAUAGAUGUUGAGAUAGAUGGUGCUGUGUUAAGAAAUCCGGUAAAUCCAAUGAGUAAACCAUAUGUUAACUACAUAUUGCUAACACUUAGUGCCAUCUAUUGUUAAUAAUAUAAAGUAAAAUUUUGAUAAAAUUUAAAUUCCAUCCUGUAGAAUUAAAGGAUGCAGCAUUGAGGGAUUCUUU
rnacentral:lncRNA from 1 species